rnacentral:lncRNA from 1 species
AAAGAUCUGGGAGGGGGAGGGGCUCUGAAGGACUUCAGGGACAUGGGUGAAUGGCCAGACGCGCAGAGACGCUGGCAACAAGUAAAUGUUAAAUAAAAAGGACAUUAUUCAUUAAUGUCUUCAGUCACUCAGAAAGCUUUAAUUAAGCACUCAUCCUAGGCUUGGCAAGUUCUCGUGUGUGUGUGUGUGUGUGUGUGUGUGUGUGUCUGUGUGUCUGUGUGUCUGUGUGUCUGUGUGUCUGUGUGUGUCUGUCUGUAUGUGAAUGUGUGUGGUGUGUGUGGUAUGUUUAUGUUUGGUGUCAAUGUGUGAAUGUGUGUGUAUGUGGUGUGUGUGGUGUGUGACUGUGUAUGUGAGUGUGUGGUGUAUGUGAAUAUGUGUGUGAGGUGUGUGUGUGUUUGUGUGUCUGCAUGUGAAUGUGUGUGAGUAUGUGUGUAUGUGUGGUAUGUAUGUGUUUGAUGUCAAUGUGUGAGUGUGUGGUGUGUAUAUGUACAUAUACAUGUAUAUGUAUAUGUGUGUGAAGUGUGUGGUAUAGUGUGAUAUGUGUGGUGUGUGUGUGGUGUGGUGUGGUGUGAUGUGGUAUGGUGUAGUGUGAUAUACAUGUUAUGUGUGUGUGUGUG